rnacentral:rRNA from 1 species
CAGCAGCCGCGGGAAUACCGAGGAUGCAAGCGUUAUCCGGAAUGAUUGGGCGUAAAGGGCUCGCAGGCGGUUUCUUAAGUCUGAUGUGAAAGCCCCCGGCUCAACCGGGGAGGGUCAUUGGAAACUGGGAAACUUGAGUGCAGAAGAGGAGAGUGGAAUUCCACGUGUAGCGGUGAAAUGCGUAGAGAUGUGGAGGAACACCAGUGGCGAAGGCGACUCUCUGGUCUGUAACUGACGCUGAGGAGCGAAAGCGUGGGGAGCGAACAGGAUUAGAUACCCCGGUAGUCCCUGUCUCUUAUAC